rnacentral:piRNA from 1 species
UUGCAGUGAAGCUCUGGAUUG